rnacentral:rRNA from 1 species
GUGCCAGCAGCCGCGGUAAUACGUAGGGCGCAAGCGUUAUCCGGAUUUAUUGGGCGUAAAGAGCUCGUAGGCGGUUUGUCGCGUCUGGUGUGAAAGUCCAUUGCUUAACGGUGGAUUGGCGCCGGGUACGGGCAGGCUAGAGUGCAGUAGGGGAGACUGGAAUUCCCGGUGUAACGGUGGAAUGUGUAGAUAUCGGGAAGAACACCAAUGGCGAAGGCAGGUCUCUGGGCUGUUACUGACGCUGAGGAGCGAAAGCGUGGGGAGCGAACAGGAUUAGAUACCCUGGUAGUCCACGCUGUAAACGGUGGAUGCUGGAUGUGGGGCCCGUUCCGCGGGUUCUGUGUCGGAGCUAACGCGUUAAGCAUCCCGCCUGGGGAGUACGGCCGCAAGGUUAAAACUCAAAGAAAUUGACGGGGGCCCGCACAAGCGGCGGAGCAUGCGGAUUAA